UGAACGCUAGCGACAGGCCUAACACAUGCAAGUCGAGGGAAAGGGUAGCAAUACCUGAAACCGGCGCACGGGUGCGUAACGCGUAUGCAACCUACCUUUUACUGGGGGAUAGCUUUCGGAAACGGAAAUUAAUACCCCAUAACACUACGAUAUCACCUGAUAAUGUAGUUAAAGCUCCGGCGGUAAAAGAUGGGCAUGCGUGACAUUAGCUAGUUGGUAGGGUAACGGCCUACCAAGGCUACGAUGUCUAGGGGUUCUGAGAGGAAGGUCCCCCACACUGGUACUGAGACACGGACCAGACUCCUACGGGAGGCAGCAGUGAGGAAUAUUGGUCAAUGGACGCAAGUCUGAACCAGCCAUGUCGCGUGCAGGAUGACUGCCCUAUGGGUUGUAAACUGCUUUUGUAUGGGAAGAAAGUGAGAUACGUGUAUCUCUUUGCCGGUACCAUACGAAUAAGGAUCGGCUAACUCCGUGCCAGCACCGCGGUAAUCUGAUGGCG
rnacentral:rRNA from 1 species